AUGGAAGAAAAGUUGAGUAAGAUUGAUGAUUUGUCUAGAAGUGUUGAUAGAAUUUCUCAUGGUGUAGGAAAUCUCAAGAUGAAAUUUUUUGUGCCCAAGGUUGAGGAAUCAAUUAAAGCUAUUUAUGUUUCUAUGGAUGAAAGUAAGAAAAGAACCGCUAUGCUUAGAAUUAGAAGAGAAUUUUUAGAAAAAACGUUUUCUAGUGAUUGCUUUCAUAAAAGUGAUGAAGAUCUUAAAAUGAUUGAUGUUUCUUCUAUUGAUUCCUUGUUUAGUAAAAUUAAGAUUGAUGAAAAAGGGAUUGAAGAAGAGUCAACUUUAGCUAGAAGGCGUCCCGAAAGUUUUGAGGGUGGAAAUCUUAUUGGGAAAAUUGAUAAAAGUGGGAUUGAAGAGGUCAAAACUUUAACUAGUGACGUUCCCACUCUUUUGGAUUACAAAGACUUUAAUUAUGAUAGUUGCUCUUUUAUCGAUUGUAUUUCUUUGUUGCAAUCCAUGAUAAACUCACCCCAUGCUUAUGAACAAAGUAAAGCUUUUACUAAACAUAUUGUUGAUCUAUGA
rnacentral:rRNA from 1 species